rnacentral:rRNA from 1 species
CUGACUGCUAUCGGAUGAUACUAAGCCAUGCGAGUCUUUGUAGUAAUACAAGGCAGACGGCUCAGUAACACGUAGUCAACCUACCCUAUGGACAAGAAUAAUCUCGGGAAACUGGGCAUAAUUCUUGAUAGAUCAUAAUGCCUGGAAUGGUUUAUGGUUAAAAUGAUUCGUCGCCAUAGGAUGGGACUACGGCCUAUCAGCUUGUUGGUGAGGUAAUGGCCCACCAAGGCGAUUACAGGUACGGGCUCUGAGAGGAGAAGCCCGGAGAUGGGUACUGAGACACGGACCCAGGCCCUAUGGGGCGCAGCAGGCGAGAAAACUUUGCAAUGUGCGAAAGCACGACAAGGUUAAUCCGAGUGAUUUCUGCUAAAGAAAUCUUUUGCCAGUCAUAAAACCACUGGUGAAUAAGGGGUGGGCAAGUUCUGGUGUCAGCCGCCGCGGUAAAACCAGCACCUCAAGUGGUCAGGAUGAUUAUUGGGCCUAAAGCAUCCGUAGCCGGCUUUGUAAGUUUUCGGUUAAAUCCAUGUGCUCAACGCAUGGGCUGCCGAAAAUACUGCAUGGCUAGGGAGUGGGAGAGGUAGACGGUACUCAGUAGGAAGGGGUAAAAUCCUUUGAUCUAUUGAUGACCACCUGUGGCGAAGGCGGUCUACCAGAACACGUUCGACGGUGAGGGAUGAAAGCUGGGGGAGCAAACCGGAUUAGAUACCCGGGUAGUCCCAGCUGUAAACGAUGCAGACUAGAUGAUGCAUUGGCAUAAUAGCCAUUGCAGUGUCUCAGGGAAGCCGUUAAGUCUGCCGCCUGGGAAGUACGUACGCAAGUAUGAAACUUAAAGGAAUUGGCGGGGGAGCACCACAAGGGGUGAAGCCUGCGGUUCAAU